AUAAUUAAAAGAAAAGAUAAAAGGCAAAUUAAUUAAGAAUCAGCUCUUUGUUAAGGGUUUAAAGAAUCGACUCUUGCUUAACACGUGAAGGAGGGGGAUUGGAGAUCCGAUUUUGGGAGAAGAAGAAUCGUCGAAGUCUCCGCUCUCCUCGAUGAUCGUCAGUGCUCGGCUCGUCGACGGAGUCUCUCGGUGGAACCCAUUUACAAAAGUGAAUGGAUGAGCGAGACGAGGCCAGUGCCGAGGAGAGAGAGCCCGUGGGGUUUACCGGAAGGUCACCGUGAGCCCCAAGCUCACUGCUGCAACGAUCGUGUCGAGGACGUCGUCCAGGGAAGAGAUAAAUAAGUACAAUGCCGAAGAGCUCAUGAUAGUGCAAUGUACUGAGGACCAGCCAAGCCGUAGACAUGUGUACUUUGCAGAAGACAGGUUAGUCACAGCAUCUUCACUUUGGGAUAGCUUUCAUAGUUUUUAUUCAAUAUGAAUGUUUAUAUACAGACUGUUACUGUUAAGUUUGAUGACUUGUUGUCUGUUUAAGUUUAUGUCAUCUAUGUUUAAGUUCCUUUCUGUGUUGUUUGUUGUAUUCCGUUUAGAAGUUUAAGUUUCUCUAUGUGUUUGUUGUAAUGAAUUCUAUGUUUCUCAUGUAAUGGAUUCUCUGUUUUUCAGAAGUAUUAAAAUUCAUGUUUGUGUC